rnacentral:rRNA from 1 species
ACCGUACUCCUACGGGAGGCAGCAGUGGGGAAUCUUAGACAAUGGGGGAGACCCUGAUCUAGCCAUGCCGCGUGAUCGAUGAAGGCCUUCGGGUUGUAAAGAUCUUUCAGAUGGGAAGAUAAUGACGGUGCCAUCAGAAGAAGCCCCGGCUAACUCCGUGCCAGCAGCCGCGGUAAUACGGAGGGGGCUAGCGUUAUUCGGAAUUACUGGGCGUAAAGCGCACGUAGGCGGACUGAAAAGUCAGAGGUGAAAUCCCAGGGCUCAACCUUGGAACUGCCUUUGAAACUCUCAGUCUUGAGGUCGAGAGAGGUGAGUGGAAUUCCGAGUGUAGAGGUGAAAUUCGUAGAUAUUCGGAGGAACACCAGUGGCGAAGGCGGCUCACUGGCUCGAUACUGACGCUGAGGUGCGAAAGCGUGGGGAGCAAACAGGAUUAGAAACCCUUGUAGUCCUUGAC